rnacentral:rRNA from 1 species
AACAGGAUUAGAUACCCUGGUAGUCCACGCUGUAAACGAUGUCGACUUGGAGGUUGUGCCCUUGAGGCGUGGCUUCCGGAGCUAACGCGUUAAGUCGACCGCCUGGGGAGUACGGCCGCAAGGUUAAAACUCAAAUGAAUUGACGGGGGCCCGCACAAGCGGUGGAGCAUGUGGUUUAAUUCGAUGCAACGCGAAGAACCUUACCUACUCUUGACAUCCAGAGAACUUAGCAGAGAUGCUUUGGUGCCUUCGGGAACUCUGAGACAGGUGCUGCAUGGCUGUCGUCAGCUCGUGUUGUGAAAUGUUGGGUUAAGUCCCGCAACGAGCGCAACCCUUAUCCUUUGUUGCCAGCGGUCCGGCCGGGAACUCAAAGGAGACUGCCAGUGAUAAACUGGAGGAAGGUGGGGAUGACGUCAAGUCAUCAUGGCCCUUACGAGUAGGGCUACACACGUGCUACAAUGGCAUAUACAAAGAGAAGCGACCUCGCGAGAGCAAGCGGACCUCAUAAAGUAUGUCGUAGUCCGGAUCGGAGUCUGCAACUCGACUCCGUGAAGUCGGAAUCGCUAGUAAUCGUGGAUCAGAAUGCCACGGUGAAUACGUUCCCGGGCCUUGUACACACCGCCCGUCACACCAUGGGAGUGGGUUGCAAAAGAAGUAGGUAGCUUAACCUUCGGGAGGGCGCUUACCACUUUGUGAUUCAUGACUGGGGUGAAGUCGUAACAAGGUAACC